GCGCCGGGAGGCGAGGCGGGGAGCGCGAGCGGCGGCCACCGCCACGUCUUCCCGGCAGCGGCGGCGCGGGCGGAGCCUGGAGUGGAUGCGCAGUGGCUCCACGUGGAGCAGCCUUACUUGAAGAAUACCCCCAGGAUCUCUCCUUGCCGUGGGAAUAAUCCAAAUCACCUUUCCUGGAAGUCAGUUUGCUGAAACUACUGAAGCAGCAGUUCCUGGAAGUUGAAGAAAAGGAGAUCCGGCGCCUUGACCUGAGGGGUGUGGUCCUCCCGUCGGAACCGGCUCCAGACGCGC